rnacentral:rRNA from 1 species
ACCCCAUGCAAGUCGAACGAUGAACCAGGUGCUUGCACUUGGGGAUUAGUGGCGAACGGGUGAGUAACACGUGAGCAACCUGCCCCUCACUCUGGGAUAAGCGCUGGAAACGGCGUCUAAUACUGGAUACGAGUCGCAACCGCAUGGUUAGUGACUGGAAAGAUUUUUUGGUGGGGGAUGGGCUCGCGGCCUAUCAGCUUGUUGGUGAGGUAAUGGCUCACCAAGGCGUCGACGGGUAGCCGGCCUGAGAGGGUGACCGGCCACACUGGGACUGAGACACGGCCCAGACUCCUACGGGAGGCAGCAGUGGGGAAUAUUGCACAAUGGGCGGAAGCCUGAUGCAGCAACGCCGCGUGAGGGAUGACGGCCUUCGGGUUGUAAACCUCUUUUAGCAGGGAAGAAGCGAAAGUG